CACAGUUUGCUCCACAUUUCAGUGGCAGCUCUGAUGCAAUGCAAAGGUCAGAGGGCAAGACACACAUUGUAUGCAAACAGGAAAAUAAUUUCUUCUGGGAUCUGCUAAUAUACGGACAAAGGAGAGAAGCAUGUCAUCUGCUGUACAAGCCAAGGCAAACCCAGCUUCGUUCCAUGCAUCAGAGGGUUGAAUCAGAAAGAAAAGGAUUAAAGUUGCUCAAGGAGAGAGAAAAAGAAAGAACAAACUGCCUGAAAUCCAGCACUAUUCAUGUAUGCAGCAUGGAUUGUUUUAAAAUGCUGUUUUUCUUCAAACAUCACUUUCAUAAGGCCAAUUCUAAAUGGAUUGAGAUGACACUAAGAGGUUUGGCAUCAGACAAAAUCUGGAGAUGGAGUUAAGCCCUAUAAGCCCCAUAUGCAGUUAAACUUUCCCACUGGCUGAUGAGCAGUGGAGGACAAAAGCAGGCUGGCACGCUCUGUCCGUGGGUAAACUCAGUGAGGACUGCGGUGGCAAGAGGUCAGAUGCUGCUGUUCAUAGUCAUUGGCACAACACCUGGAGAUCAGCAGUGUCAGUGACCCCAGUGUUACCUCCUACGCAGUUAGCAGAAAGAAGAACAAGCAAAGAAAGAAACAAAAAACCCAACCAACCAAUCAAACACAAAAAAGCACCCAUCUGUUUUUAGAUGGCAGCCACAUAUGUAGCUAAACCUCCACACUGGAAGGCAGCAGCAGUAGUCAGGAGUGAGAAGGCUCAGGAAGCUCUCAGUAAAGUUUUUUGUGAAAAGUUAAAAUGUGUAACUCCGUGGCAAGGGACAGGAUGGUACACACUGCCAGGAGAAGGGGUAAUGGGUAUAUCAGCCUCCGAGGUUAAUUCAGCUUGAAAUGUUCUUGUGUUCUUGGGUCCCACCAGCCUCACCGUUCAGCACCUCUGCGGCUAUGCCAGGACAGCCACAGGCAGCAAACUAUCUCAGGACAAGGUUGAGGCUGAAGAAUUAAUCUACUUACAAAGGUGCAAGUAGAUGGAUGAAUAAAUGGGGUAAUAGAUUCUUCUUUGAAUUUAUAAGAUUUCAAAAUAAGGAAAGGACCAAAUAUGCCUGGCUUUUGCCACAUUAAAUUUGACAAGACUUCCUCCAGUGCUCCCACUUGGAUAGGACAUGGGGAGAGGUUGCUUCUGGUAGUCAGUGUGUAUAAUGGCUCUCACUCACCAUUUGCUGUGGAAUGGCUCAGGCUGAACUUGCAGGAUGCUGGAGGGGAUGCAGCUGGCCCUGCCAGCCCCACUGCACAGUGUGGAUUCCUCAGAGCAGUGCAAGUAUUGCAGCACAGUUCUGCUGCAGGUGGGAGAACAAGACCUGCAGCCCCGCAAGUUUUAACUUGGCACCGAAGGGCAUGAAGUUGAUGUUUUCUCUGUAGGGUGGCUAUUCAUGC
ensembl:lncRNA